rnacentral:rRNA from 1 species
GACAGAGGAUGCAAGCGUUAUCCGGAAUUAUUGGGCGUAAAGCGUCUGUAGGUGGCUUUUUAAGUCUGCCGUCAAAUCCCAGGGCUUAACCCUGGACAGGCGGUGGAAACUACCAAGCUGGAGUACGGUAGGGGCAGAGGGAAUUUCCGGUGGAGCGGUGAAAUGCGUAGAGAUCGGGAAGAACAUCGGUGGCGAAAGCGCUCUACUGGACGGUAUCUGACACUGAGGGACGAAAGCUAGGGGAGCGAAUGGG